rnacentral:SRP_RNA from 10 species
ACUGGGUUCUUUUGAAUCCUGCUUUCAAAAAACAAGAAAGCCAUGCUGUGGGAGGAUCGCUUGAGCCCAGGAGUUCUGGGCUAUUGUGUGCUAUGCCAACUGGGUGUCUGCACUACGUUUAACAUCAACAUGACGACCUCCUGGGAGCGGAGGAACUCCAGGUUGCCUAAGGAGGAGUGAACUUGUGCAGGUCAGAAAUGGGACAGAUCCAAACUUCUGUGCUAAUCCUUAGUGGGAUCGCGCCUAUGUAUAGCCACACUGCACUCCAGCCUGGGCAACACAGUGAGACCCUGUCU